CCUACGGGAGGCUGCAGUGAGGAAUAUUGGUCAAUGGGCGCGAGCCUGAACCAGCCAAGUCGCGUGAGGGAGUACUGCCCUACGGGUUGUAAACUUCUUUUAUAAGGGAAUAAAGUGCGUCACGUGUGCCGUUUUGUAUGUACUUUAUGAAUAAGGAUCGGCUAACUCCGUGCCAGCAGCCGCGGUAAUACGGAGGAUCCGAGCGUUAUCCGGAUUUAUUGGGUUUAAAGGGAGCGUAGACGGGUUGUUAAGCCAGUCGUGAAAGUUUGUGGCUCAACCGUAAAAUUGCAACUGAUACUGGCAGCCUUGAGUACAGUUGAGGUAGGCGGAAUUCGUGGUGUAGCGGUGAAAUGCUUAGAUAUCACGAAGAACUCCGAUUGCGAAGGCAGCUUACGAAACUGCCACUGACGGUGAUGCUCGAAGGUGUGGGUAUCAAACAGGAUUAGAUACCCUGGUAGUC
rnacentral:rRNA from 1 species